CAGCAGCCGCGGGAAUACGGAGGGUGCAAGCGUUAUCCGGAUUUAUUGGGUUUAAAGGGUCCGUAGGCGGACUUAUAAGUCAGUGGUGAAAGCCUGUCGCUUACGAUAGAACUGCCAUUGAUACUGUAAGUCUUGAGUAUAUUUGAGGUAGCUGGAAUAAGUAGUGUAGCGGUGAAAUGCAUAGAUAUUACUUAGAACACCAAUUGCGAAGGCAGGUUACCAAGAUAUAACUGACGCUGAGGGACGAAAGCGUGGGUAGCGAACAGGAUUAGAUACCCCCGUAGUCCCUGUCUCUUAUACC
rnacentral:rRNA from 1 species